AGGAUAAACGCUGGCGGCGUGCCUAACACAUGCAAGUCGAACGCGCUUUCGGGCUUCGGUGCGAGAGCGAGUGGCGGACGGGUGAGUAACACAUGGGUACCUACCUUGGAGUGAGGGAUACCGGCGAGAAAUCGCCGACAAUACCGCAUAGGCUUCUUCACAAGGGAAGCAAAGUGACGCGAGUCACGCUUUGAGAUGGGCCUGUGGCCGAUUAGCUAGUUGGGGGGGUAACGGCUUCCCAAGGCGACGAUCGGUAGCUGGUCUGAGAGGACGAUCAGCCACACUGGGAUUGAGAACGGCCCAGACUCCUACGGGGGGCAGCAGUGAGGAAUUUUCCGCAAUGGAGGCAACUCUGACGGAGCAACGCCGCGUGCAGGAGGAAGGUUUCGGAUCGUAAACUGCUUUUCUCGGGGACGAGCAAGGCGGUACCCGAGGAAGAAGCCCCGGCUAACUACGCGCCAGCAGCCGC
rnacentral:rRNA from 1 species